rnacentral:tRNA from 1 species
GGGAUUGUGGCUUAGUGGUAGAGUGCUUGCCUACCACGCAUGAAGCUCUGAGUUCAAUUCCUCAGCACCA